rnacentral:misc_RNA from 1 species
UCCGAUUUUAAUAUCGGCAGUCUCGUUAGAGUGCCCGGCCGAACCGCUGGCAACAUGGGACAGGGGUUGCGCUCGUUGCGCCACUUAAGGCAACACCUCACGGCACGAGCUGACGACGGCCAUGCAGCACCUGUGCGGGCUCCCGAAGGAGGACCGUGUUUCCACGGCUUCACCCCGCAUGUCAAGUCCUGGUAAGGUUCUUCGCGUCGCGUCGGAUUAAGCCACAUGCUCCGCCGCUUGUGCGGGCCCCCGUCAAUUCCUUUGGGUUUUAGCCUUGCGGCCGUACUCCCCAGGCGGGGUGCUUAAUGCGUUAGCUUCGGCACAGAGCGGGUCAAUCGCCGCCCCACACCUAGCACCCAACGUUUACGGCUAGGACUAC